rnacentral:rRNA from 1 species
AUCAACUUUCGAUGGUAGGAUAGAGGCCUACCAUGGUGGUAACGGGUAACGGGGUGUUAGGGCACGACACCGGAGAGGGAGCCUGAGAAACGGCUACCACAUCCAAGGAUGGCAGCAGGCGCGCAAAUUACCCAAUCCCGACACGGGGAGGUAGUGACAAUAAAUAACAAUACGGGGUUCUUUCGGAUCUCGUAAUUGGAAUGAGUACAAUUUAAAUCUCUUAACGAGGAACAAUUGGAGGGCAAGUCUGGUGCCAGCAGCCGCGGUAAUUCCAGCUCCAAUAGCGUAUAUUAAAGUUGUUGCAGUUAAAAAGCUCGUAGUUGAAUUUCGGGAUCAAAUUGUCGGUCGUGCCUCGGUACGUACUGGCGUUAUUGGUUCCUCCCUUCUGAAGAACCGCGAUGUCAUUAAUUUGGUGUCGCGGGGAAUCAGGACUGUUACUUUGAAAAAAUUAGAGUGUUUAAAGCAGGCUUGCGCUUGAAUACAUUAGCAUGGAAUAAUGAAAUAGGACGUUUGAUUCUAUUUUGUUGGUUUCUAGGAUCGACGUAAUGAUUAAUAGGGAUAGUUGGGGGCAUUAGUAUUCAAUUGUCAGAGGUGAAAUUCUUGGAUUUAUUGAAGACUAACUACUGCGAAAGCAUUUGCCAAGGAUGUUUUCAUUAAUCAAGAACGAAAGUUAGGGGAUCGAAGACGAUCAGAUACCGUCGUAGUCUUAACCAUAAACUAUGCCGACUAGGGAUCGGAUGAUGUUAAUUUUUUAAUGACUCAUUCGGCGCCUUACGGGAAACCAAAGUGUUUGGGUUC